UACGAAGGGGGCUAGCGUUGUUCGGAUUUACUGGGCGUAAAGCGCACGUAGGCGGAUCGUUAAGUCGGGGGUGAAAUCCUGGAGCUCAACUCCAGAACUGCCUUCGAUACUGGCGAUCUUGAGUCCGGAAGAGGUGAGUGGAACUCCUAGUGUAGAGGUGGAAUUCGUAGAUAUUAGGAAGAACACCGGUGGCGAAGGCGACUUACUGGACACAUAUUGACGCUGGGGUGCGAAAGCGUGGGGAGCAAACAGG
rnacentral:rRNA from 1 species